rnacentral:rRNA from 1 species
CAAUAGCGUAUAUUAAAGUUGUUGCGGUUAAAAAGCUCGUAGUUGGACCUUGGACCUGGACAGGCGGUCCGCCUCACGGCGAGUACUGUCUUGCUGGGUCUUUCCUCUUGGUGAUCUGUUGUUUCGGCAGCAGGGAACCAGGACCUUUACUUUGAAAAAAUUAGAGUGUUCAAAGCAGGCUCGACGCCGGAAUAUAUUAGCAUGGAAUAAUAAAAUAGGACGUGCGGUUCUAUUUUGUUGGUUUUUGGAAUCGCCGUAAUGAUUAAUAGGGACAGUCGGGGGCAUUAGUACUCACAUGCUAGAGGUGAAAUUCUUGGAUUUUGUGAAGACUAACUUCUGCGAAAGCAUUUGCCAAGGAUGUUUNCAUUA